rnacentral:rRNA from 1 species
AUUGAACGCUGGCGGCAGGCCUAACACAUGCAAGUCGAACGGUAACAGGAAACAGCUUGCUGUUUCGCUGACGAGUGGCGGACGGGUGAGUAAUGUCUGGGAAACUGCCUGAUGGAGGGGGAUAACUACUGGAAACGGUAGCUAAUACCGCAUAACGUCGCAAGACCAAAGAGGGGGACCUUCGGGCCUCUUGCCAUCGGAUGUGCCCAGAUGGGAUUAGCUAGUAGGUGGGGUAACGGCUCACCUAGGCGACGAUCCCUAGCUGGUCUGAGAGGAUGACCAGCCACACUGGAACUGAGACACGGUCCAGACUCCUACGGGAGGCAGCAGUGGGGAAUAUUGCACAAUGGGCGCAAGCCUGAUGCAGCCAUGCCGCGUGUAUGAAGAAGGCCUUCGGGUUGUAAAGUACUUUCAGCGGGGAUGAAGGGAGUAAAGUUAAUACCUUUGCCCAUUGACGUUACCCGCAGAAGAAGCACCGGCUAACUCCGUG